rnacentral:rRNA from 1 species
UACGGAGGGUGCAAGCGUUAUCCGGAUUCACUGGGUUUAAAGGGUGCGUAGGCGGAUUGGUAAGUCCGUGGUGAAAUCUAAGCUUAACUUGGAAACUGCCAUGGAUACUAUUAGUCUUGAAUAUUGUGGAGGUUAGCGGAAUAUGUCAUGUAGCGGUGAAAUGCAUAGAUAUGACAUAGAACACCAAUUGCGAAGGCAGCUGGCUACACAAAUAUUGACGCUGAUGCACGAAAGCGUGGGGAUCAAACAGG